AUUGAACGCUGGCGGCAGGCUUAACACAUGCAAGUCGAGCGCGCGGCGGACGGGUGAGUAAUGUAUGGGGACUGCCCGUUCUAGGGGGAAAACUACUUGAAACGGUUGCUAAUUCCGCAUACUAUCGGAUAUCCCAUAGGGGCUUAGCUAGUAGGUGAUGUAAUGGCUCACCUAGGCUACGAUCCCUAGCUGGUCUGCGAGCAUGAUCAGCGACAGUGGGAAUGAGAAACGGCCCAGGCUCCUACGGAGGCAGCAGUGGGGAAUAUGGCACAUUGGACGCAAGCCUGAUGCAGGCAUGCCGAGUGUAUGAAGAAGGACGUAGGGUUUUAAAGUAUAUUCAGUCGGGAGGCGUUACCGACAGAAGAAGCGCCGGCUAACUACGGGCCAGCAGCCGCGGUAAUUC
rnacentral:rRNA from 1 species